CAGUAGCCGCGGUAAAACGUAGGUGGCAAGCGUUGUCUGGAAUUAUUGGGCGUAAAGGGCUCGCAGGCGGUUUCUUAAGUCUGAUGUGAAAGCCCCCGGCUCAACCGGGGAGGGUCAUUGGAAACUGGGAAACUUGAGUGCAGAAGGGGAGAGUGGAAUUCCACGUGUAGCGGUGAAAUGCGUAGAUAUAUGGAGGAACACCGGUGGCGAAAGCGGCUCUCUGGCUUGUAACUGACGCUGAGGCUCGAAAGCGUGGGGAGCAAACAGGAUUAGAUACCCCCGUAGUCCCUGUCUCUUAUAC
rnacentral:rRNA from 1 species